CACCAGCGCCCGGGGCGACCCGGGCGGCUAGGCAAACCCCGCCCGGAGCAAGGCCGAGCAGGCGGCGUUCGAGGGUUGCUCGCCCGAGCCGCCGGGUAGGCCGCUUGAGGCCCGUGGUGACGCGGGUCCUAGAUGGAUGGCCGUCUUGAAUGACAGAACCCGGCUUACAGGCCGGCUCAUCCG
rnacentral:RNase_P_RNA from 1 species